GACGAACGCUGGCGGCGUGCUUAACACAUGCAAGUCGAACGGAAAGGCCCUGCUUUUGUGGGGUGCUCGAGUGGCGAACGGGUGAGUAACACGUGAGUAACCUGCCCUUGACUUUGGGAUAACUUCAGGAAACUGGGGCUAAUACCGGAUAGGAGCUCCUGCUGCAUGGUGGGGGUUGGAAAGUUUCGGCGGUUGGGGAUGGACUCGCGGCUUAUCAGCUUGUUGGUGGGGUAGUGGCUUACCAAGGCUUUGACGGGUAGCCGGCCUGAGAGGGUGACCGGCCACCUUGGGACUGAGAUACGGCGCAGAAUCCUACGGGAGGCAGCAGGGGGGAAUAUUGCACAAUGGGCGGAAGCCUGAUGCAGCAACGCCGCGUGCGUGAUGACGGCCUUCGGGUUGUAAACCGCUUUCGCCUGUGACGAAGCGUGAGUGACGGUAAUGGGUAAAGAAGCACCGGCUAACUACGUG
rnacentral:rRNA from 1 species